rnacentral:rRNA from 1 species
AGAUUGAACGCUAGCGGGAUGCUUUGCACAUGCAAGUCGAACGGCAGCGCGGACUUCGGUCUGGCGGCGAGUGGCGAACGGGUGAGUAAUAUAUCGGAACGUGCCCAGUAGCGGGGGAUAACUACGCGAAAGCGUGGCUAAUACCGCAUACCGCCCGUACGGGGGAAGGGGGGAUUCUUCGGAACCUCUCACGAUUGGAGCGGCCGAUAUCAGAUUAGCUAGUUGGUAGGGGUAAAACGCCCACCAAGGACGACGAUCUGUAGCUGGUCUGAGAGGACGACCAGCCACACUGGAACUGAGACACGGUACCACGACUCCGUACGGGAGGCAGCAGGUGGGUAAUUUGGACAGUGGGCGCAAGCCUGAUCCAG